GGGAUCGCCCUUAGAGUUUGAUCCUGGCUCAGGACGAACGCUGGCGGCGUGCCUAAUACAUGCAAGUCGAGCGAAUCAAUGGGAGCUUGCUCCCGUUGGUUAGCGGCGGACGGGUGAGUAACACGUGGGCAACCUGCCUGUAAGACUGGGAUAACUUCGGGAAACCGGAGCUAAUACCGGAUAAUUCUUUUCCUCUCAUGAGGAAAAGCUGAAAGUCGGUUUCGGCUGACACUUACAGAUGGGCCCGCGGCGCAUUAGCUAGUUGGUGAGGUAACGGCUCACCAAGGCGACGAUGCGUAGCCGACCUGAGAGGGUGAUCGGCCACACUGGGACUGAGACACGGCCCAGACUCCUACGGGAGGCAGCAGUAGGGAAUCUUCCACAAUGGACGAAAGUCUGAUGGAGCAACGCCGCGUGAGCGAUGAAGGCCUUCGGGUCGUAAAGCUCUGUUGUUAGGGAAGAACAAGUACCGGAGUAACUGCCGGUACCUUGACGGUACCUAACCAGAAAGCCACGGCUAACUACGUGCCAGCAGCCGCGGUAAUACGUAGGUGGCAAGCGUUGUCCGGAAUUAUUGGGCGUAAAGCGCGCGCAGGCGGUCCUUUAAGUCUGAUGUGAAAGCCCACGGCUCAACCGUGGAGGGUCAUUGGAAACUGGGGGACUUGAGUGCAGAAGAGGAAAGCGGAAUUCCACGUGUAGCGGUGAAAUGCGUAGAGAUGUGGAGGAACACCAGUG
rnacentral:rRNA from 1 species